rnacentral:lncRNA from 1 species
UUGACCAUGGGUGAGCAUCAAUUUAAAUCUGUAUGUGGACUUUCUUCCCUUAGAAUUUAUCUUUCUUUGUCAGAAAUAUGUUUCCUGUUUUAAGAUACAUGUAAGAACUUAGAAAAUUAUAGUCACUUUUUACAGCUUCAUGCUGAUAAGGGUGUGAGCUUCUAUAAUCUUCCACUAGCCAUAACACCUUAUCUAUCCAUCUAAAGGUAUAAUGUUAGAGGUAUAUCCUCUGAAAAUCUUAAGAAUCCUUGUUUGUAGGGAACAAUAAAUAUCUUGAAGCCAAAAAUUGGCCUAGUGCUUGAAGACACGAGAGUUACUUAGCUUAGGGAAAUCAAUAGCCCAUAUGAUUAUGAUGUGAAUGAUUUACUUGAUUAUAACAGAUUUUCCCAUCUUCACUUUGCCUCCUUCUCUUAGCCUACUACUGAUACUACAAUUAACUUGAACAUUAUAUCUGUGAUUAAGGGAAUGAUAGUUGGUCAUGCUUACUACUUUCUUGAAGAUGUGUAUCCACGGAAAUCUAACUAUCUUCACUUUGCCUCCUUCAAUAAUUGGUGUCCUUUCUAUAUAGAAAUCUAAACAUUGUUAUUUAAGAUUGUGUGAUGGUAUUUAAUAUUGUGUGAUGCUUGUGGUUGUUGAAUGUGACUGAAUUCUGACUUGAGGUCAACAUAUAAUAAUAAUCUACAAGUCUUGUAAUAGAAAAUAUGUUUACCACUAUGCUUACUGAAAUUAAUUCAUGAAAUGGCCGAUUAAGAUUCCAAUUUUUUUCUUGUAACAGAGCAAUCAUAUAUUCAAACUAAAGGUUCUUUUUCUAUUUGGAUUUAUAGCAAAUGAUAUUGUGAUUGCCUAUUUGUCUUUUUCUGCUUAUGAGCAAUACGGUGUACAUUAGUACCACAUAGCAACUCUAUUGUCUUUGUGUAUUGAUUUUGGCACUAAGUGCCUCUGGUGACCUAUUUGCUUCAUUUUCUUGACUAGCUAUUAUUUUUAAAUAUGUGCAGGAAGACUGCUUCUAUGACCUGCCUUACAAUACUGGGUAUCAAAUUUCCGUGCUACGUUUACGGAAGACAAGGGACGAAAUUAUAAAGUAUACUCUCUCUAUAUAUGUAGAUAUAUACUUUGAUUGAAGAACUGUGGUAACUUUAGAUGAUUAAUUGUAAAGAUAAUGAAUGAUUAUAUAGUGGAUGAUUUUAU